ensembl:rRNA 5S_rRNA 5S ribosomal RNA
GUCUACGGCCAUACCACCCUGAACGCGCCCGAUCUCGUCUGAUCUCGGAAGCUAAGCAGGGUCGGGCCUGGUUAGUACUUGAAUGGGAGAAAGGUAGAAUCACAGAGA